GACGAACGCUGGCGGCGUGCUUAACACAUGCAAGUCGAACGGAAAGGCCCUGCUUUUGUGGGGUGCUCGAGUGGCGAACGGGUGAGUAACACGUGAGUAACCUGCCCUUGACUUUGGGAUAACUUCAGGAAACUGGGGCUAAUACCGGAUAGGAGCUCCUGCUGCAUUGUGGGGGUUGGAAAGUUUCGGCGGUUGGGGAUGUACUCGCGGCUUAUCAGCUUGUUGGUGGGGUAGUGGCUUACCAAGGCUUUGACGGGUAGCCGGCCUGAGAGGGUGACCGGCCAAAAUGGGACUGAGAUACGGACCAGACUACUACGGGAGGCAGCAGUGGGGAAUAUUGCACAAUGGGCGGAAGCCUGAUGCAGCAACGCCGCGUGCGGGAUGACGGCCUUCGGGUUGUAAACCGCUUUCGCCUGUGACGAAGCGUGAGUGACGGUAAUGGGUAAAGAAGCACCGGCUAACUACGUG
rnacentral:rRNA from 1 species